GAAUUAUAGAAGUUAGUCUGAGGGCCAGACUGUAAUAGUCAUGAGCCGGGGUAAGCUUGGUGCUACAUCUUUGUUUCUUUGCUUCUUUAUUGUUAAAAAGUAAUGAAUAGUUUUUUAAUACUGAGAAGUGAGUCUGUGGAAUAAAUGAGAGAUUGAUUUAUGAGUUAUUGAUUAUGUAAUUAGAGCACUAAAUGAUUGAAUUAUAUAAAGAAUUAUUAGAAGAUUACGAUUGUUGUUUAUUGAGAGAUCUCUGUGUUUUAACAGAAGAAGUCUAUGAUUACAGAAAUUAUGUGAAUUCAAAUUGGUUGGAGUGAAGUCUGUUACUUCUGGUGUUAAAUGGAAAUUAUGUAUUUUGAGCAGUCUUUUGAGAGUGCAGGGUUGCACACUAUUGUUAUCAAUUGAUAAAGGAGUAUUGUUACUAUGAGAAAACAUUAUAGUAUUUCUUAGUGUUUUAGUGGUUUGGAAUACGAUUAAUUGUGUAAUCCUAACAAAUAAAACUCAUGCACUUGGUCUUUCCCUGUGUUCAAAUUUUCCUAUAUAAGUUUAUUCUAAAAAAAAUUUUAGAAUAAGUAAAACGACAAUCACAUUUUGGCAUAGUUGUCGGGGAUAGAA
rnacentral:lncRNA from 1 species